rnacentral:pre_miRNA from 1 species
CGGGGAUGAGGGAGGAGGCGGGACGCUGGAGAGUGGAGGAGGUUUUCCCCUCUCCUGUCCAGCGUUCCGUCUGCUUCCUCCUCCCCG